rnacentral:rRNA from 1 species
UGGGGAAUUUUGGACAAUGGGCGCAAGCCUGAUCCAGCCAUGCCGCGUGCAGGAUGAAGGCCUUCGGGUUGUAAACUGCUUUUGUACGGAACGAAAAGGUGCCUUCUAAUAAAGGGCGCUCAUGACGGUACCGUAAGAAUAAGCACCGGCUAACUACGUGCCAGCAGCCGCGGUAAUACGUAGGGUGCGAGCGUUAAUCGGAAUUACUGGGCGUAAAGCGUGCGCAGGCGGUUUUGUAAGACAGAGGUGAAAUCCCCGGGCUCAACCUGGGAACUGCCUUUGUGACUGCAAGGCUGGAGUGCGGCAGAGGGGGAUGGAAUUCCGCGUGUAGCAGUGAAAUGCGUAGAUAUCAGGAGGAACACCUGCGGUGUAGACAGCUUUCUGGACCAAAACUGACGCUGAGGCACGAAAGCGUGGGUAGCAAACA